UGUCUGUAUUUACUCCAAGUAAGAAAACAAAUUCCACAAUUAAACGAAAUUUGUAUUGUUUAUUGGCCCUAUAGUUUUGAGGACACUUAAGCACAUAAGUGGCUGCCACAAGUUCAAGCUGAAUGAACACAAAUGAAUUUCCCCAGAUUUAAACGGCAUGAAACAUGUAGGCUUUCCGGAGUCUUAGCAACAACAUAUUUGGCAUUCCUACAAUUCACCUAUCAUAAAUACCUCUGUGGUUGCCGCACGACUUUCAAUUAUCUGAUAAGCCCGAAAACUAUGUGCAGUACUCCCCAGUGCGCUCCUAAAAUUGUUCGAGUGCCUUGUUUGUCUGACAGUUGCAGAAAGAGCAACACAAUAAUAAAGCUCAAACACGCAGUCGGACCGAGAAUUCAGUUUCAAGUGCCGCAGGCGGUCGAAAAAGAGGCCAAACAGGAGCAGUAUUGAGUUUGUGUGGUCUUGACUUUUGGCUGGAAAACACUAGGAUUUCCAUUGUUGCAAAUACAUCAGUCAAGUUAUCUAACAGUCAAGUCAGUCAGUUGAGUGGAAUAUAAACUUACUUUUCGGGAAUUUAUUUGGUAUUAUUUAUUAAUUAUAUUAUGAAAGAUAACCUGCGAUAUCUCACCGAUCUGUGUAGGCUCGCGUCAUGUUGUGGCAGAUCUCGCCGGCCUUGUUCUCCAGGUAGCUCUGGAUGCU